rnacentral:rRNA from 1 species
CCUACGGGAGGCAGCAGUGAGGAAUAUUGGACAAUGGGCGCAAGCCUGAUCCAGCCAUGCCGCGUGCAGGAAGACGGUCCUAUGGAUUGUAAACUGCUUUUAUACAGGAAGAAACACCUCUACGUGUAGAGACUUGACGGUACUGUAUGAAUAAGCAUCGGCUAACUCCGUGCCAGCAGCCGCGGUAAUACGGAGGAUGCAAGCGUUAUCCGGAAUCAUUGGGUUUAAAGGGUCCGUAGGCGGUUUAAUAAGUCAGUGGUGAAAGCCCAUCGCUCAACGAUGGAACGGCCAUUGAUACUGUUAAACUUGAAUUAUUAGGAAGUAACUAGAAUAUGUAGUGUAGCGGUGAAAUGCUUAGAGAUUACAUGGAAUACCAAUUGCGAAGGCAGGUUACUACUAAUAUAUUGACGCUGAUGGACGAAAGCGUGGGGAGCGAACAGGAUUAGAUACCCUGGUAGUCCACGCCGUAAACGAUGGAUACUAGCUGUUCGGAGCAAUCUGAGUGGCUAAGCGAAAGUGAUAAGUAUCCCACCUGGGGAGUACGUUCGCAAGAAUGAAACUCAAAGGAAUUGACGG